UGAACUUGUGUGUGGCGUGCACAAUGCGCGGGACGUUGCAUUUAUAAUUUGCUUAUUUUUUUUGAAAAGUCAUGGAAUAAAAAGAAAAUUUGCUUCUUUUACAAAUGAGAAAAAAGAUCACCAACAAGUUGUUCAAGCAGAUGUUAAUAUUGUUAGAAAUAUAACAAAAGGAUUUUUAAGACAAUAUUCAGUUUAACCGAAUUAAGGUUAAACUCUUUACUCGGCAAAAAACUCCCCUUGCACACCAUAACUUCUGCUUCACGUGACCACGGAAUUCUGGGUCAGGUAUAUAAACGCCCGUCUCGCCAGAUUCCAGUCUUUUCGAUUCUGAGUCCACUGAACGAGGUAGAGUCAUUGAUACUUUAAAAAACAUUUUAGUUAAAAAACUUCUUAAGACUUAAUAUUCUCUUUCCAAACAAUAAUAGAUAUUAAUUUAAGAUGUUGCUGUUAUAAAUUUAAAAUGCGUUUUAAGCAGGUUUUAAAUACGACCACGUGGGAGCACAUGGUGAGCACAUGUGAAAUAUUGUAGAUUUUUUAAAAGUAACCUUGUCUGUCAAACUUUAAAUGAUCACAUUUAAUCGAUGAUUAAAAAAAAUGUUAUCAAUUAUUUAUAAAUAUCUUAUCACAUGUAUGUAUCUAGAUCUUGAUCUAUAAAUAAAUAAUAGAAUUUGAUUUGUUGACGUCAUGACCGCGUGCAGUUGUAAAGCGUGUACUCUGCCUGUGUGAAUGUUCUCAAACUUAAAGCUGAAUAAAACUGAAACUGUUUUAUUUGAGUAAACGCCUUUUUACGCAAAACAUAUUCAAUGGCAUUUAACUUAUAUAAUUAAUUUCGCAUUCAUUCUAAAUCAUUUUACAAGUAACCCUCUCAUCUCACAACUUUAAUUUAUUUUAUGCUUGAGAUAAAAUCCGAAGAUAAUGGAACGCAAGCAACUAGAUCUAGUCCAACAAGUUCAGAGAAAGCGGACGUCUAGUCAAGAUGCCUGGCGGAGAUGAAAGGGUCCAUGAACAAGAUGAGACGCCAUCCGAUUUUACAGUUAGAGCUACAUCGUCUUCACCAGGAUAUCACCAAUCGUUGUGACUGGAGAGAGCUGAAACAUUUGGGUUUGCAACCAGAUGCUUUGAAUCCUAAUGACGAACAAAUCAUAAAUACAAAAAGACUGUUUUAAACAUUUGUCGCCGGUGUCGGGACAAAAUUGUGUUUCAGCGUUUUUAAUAUCAUAAAACUCUUGCGAUCGUUGACGGGGCAAGAAACAACGUCGAUUCAUAUUGAAUAAUUUAAUUUCAAGUUUUUACUCAACUGCAUUUAUUAAGCUAUAUUUACUAGUAAUCUUAAUCCAGUCAUGACAAUUUUGUGCCAAUCUUUAACCAUUAAACAUUUGUAUUUAGUCAUUUUUUGCUGGGUAAUACAUUUUCAAAAGUU